ACACCUGAGGGCAAAUAGACAUGAAAUUCCAUCCUGAUGCAUGUCGAACGUGGCUGUGAUGAAGUAAAUCACAAGAACUCCAACUUUGAACUGAGGUGAAACUAAAGACGACCCUAUAUGGCAGUUUGAAAAGCUUCAGGAACAUUCUGACCACAGACUGGACUUGGACAAGCUUUGAUCCUCGGAUUACGUUUCGCGGAAUUGCACUCGCCUGUCAAGUCCAGGUUCUUUGGAGUACCGAAAAUGGUUCUUCUAUGGCAUUACUGUGAAAACCCCCUUUUGGAACCUUCCUUUUGAAGAAAAGAUUGUUCAGCCAUGGCUUACUAUGACGAGGGGCAGAGAUCAACGCCCUGAUGGCCUCGGAGCCAGGUGGGAGACACCCCAUCUAUCACGAGAAAGUGACUUUUGUGAUUCCACAACGGGACUGUAAACAACAGACUCAUUGUAGGUGCAGGUGCUGAAUGCUGGGACUAAAAGACGAAAGUGGACAAGGAAGGAAUGUGUAGAAAAGUACCUGAAACAUUAACUUCACUGCCUAUUGUUUAUGUUUGUUCAACCUUAGUCCAUAUACUGUAUGUCAAAUAAAUCACUGCUCAGUGGCCUUAUAUAUGAGUAAAUCAAGUUAUGUAAUGGCUUCGCAGGAAUCCUUUAUUGAAUGCUCAACAAGCAUAAAGCA